AGUGAACGCUGGCGGUAGGCCUAACACAUGCAAGUCGAACGGCAGCACAGUAAGAGCUUGCUCUUACGGGUUGCGAGUGGCGGACGAGUGAGGAAUACAUCGUACUCUACUUUUUCGUGGGGGAUCACGUAGGUAAACUUACUCUAAUACCGCAUACGACCUACGGGUGAAAGCAGGGGAUCUUCGGACCUUGCGCGAUUGAAUGAGCCGAUGUCGGAUUAGCUAGUUGGCGGGUUAAUGGCCCACCAAGGCGACGAUCCGUAGCUGGUCUGAGAGGAUGAUAGGCGACACUGGAACGGGGACACGGUCAAGACUCCUAAGGGAGGCAGCAGUGGGGAAUAUUGGACAAUGGGCGCAAGCAUGAUCCAGCCAUACCGCGUGGGUGAAGAAGGCCUUCGGGUUGGAAAGACCGUUUGUUGGGAAAGAAAAGCAGCAGGUUAAGACCACGCUGGUCUGACGGUAACCAAAGAAUAAGCACCGGCUAACUUCGUG
rnacentral:rRNA from 1 species